AAAAAAAUAAGAAAGGCAAAGACAACGACGCUUAAUUAAGCCCUGUGAAGCAAUGACGCUUACUCGCGAAAACUCCGCGAAAUUGGUUUUGUCUUCCUCCGGGGCCGCUGCUGCGGCAUCGACGACCACGUCCUGGUUCUCAGGAAUCGUUAGAGGCAAAUCGGGAACGGGAAGCUAUCGAAAAGCGCGUCGACGGUGGGAGGAGGAGGAAGUGGGGAUUACGGUGGAACAAUCAAAGGGAAGAACCAAUUUCGCAGAGUUUUGUUCAAAUACAGUCCCAAAUCAAUUCAGAGAUUUUAAGUCAAUGUUCAGAAUGUUCUUUUGAAGGAUGCACAAGAGAUUGACCAACUCAUAAGCUAUCUCAUCAACAAAGAGAACUCUGAAGGUGUUGUUCUGCUUGGUCAUAGCACUGGCUGCCAGGACAUUGGGUAUUAUAUGGGAACGAAUGCUGCAUGUUCCUGAGCCGUCCGAGCUACAAUUUUGCAAGUGACAAUUCUAGAUUAUGUGACUUGUAUUUUCUCGCUCUUCUCUUAAAGCUAUAUCAUAUGUUUUGACUUUAAUGUAGCUUUGAUCAUAAUGUGUAUUGCAAUGUGUUUAUGUUUGAAACUGUUGAAUACAAAAAAAUCCUAAGAAACUUGCAAUGGAGGAGAAAAAGUAUCAAGUUGCUU